UCCGGAAUCGAAGUCAGUCAGUCCAGCGUCAAUCCAGUGCGAGUAGAUAUUGCCCGUCAAAAAGACGACGGAGGUCCAAGGUAUCCAGUAACGAAUCACACCCGUCUUCAGGAAGUUCCCCAACAAAAGCCCAAGCGUCCGUCCAGAUUACCUUGCCCAACGCAAUUAGACAUUGGUCCCAAACCCCAAUUUAUCCCAGUUCAAGCUCAUCAUCGCUGUCAGCUGCCAUCCCAAUUCCAGGUGGACCAAUGUCUAAUUGCGUUGGGCAAGGUAAUCUGGACGGACGCUUGGGCUUUUGUUGGGGAACUUCCUGAAGACGGGUGUGAUUCGUUACUGGAUACGUAAGUUUACCAAGGACACUGGGCAUCGACGGCGGGAGGAACUGUGCGGGGUUUUUCUCUGUGCAACUUGUGUUUAAUCUCGAUAGCUUGGACCUCCGUCGUCUUUUUGACGGGCAAUAUCUACUCGCACUGGAUUGACGCUGGACUGACUGACUUCGAUUCCGGGUUAUCCCUUCUGCUGGCUAUCGGUGAGACCUUUGGAUUUCUAGACGACUACGCUUGGCUAUUGACCUCUGGACCGGAUUGGGACCCUGCUGACUGCCGUUACCCUGACUGCUGUGCCUGGACCUGGAUAUCGUUGGCCGCUGAACCUUAAACUGAAUCCUGACUACGACCACGCUUUUCGUUCGCUGCAGGAAGGAAUAAACAAGCCUGGUUUAUUCUCCUGCUGUUUCUGAGUAGCAGAGAGGAAUCUGCUACCAGUCUGUUGUUUACAUUCUGACUCCUGUUGAUCCUCUUUUGUUUGCAUUGUUUGCCAGGCUGAAGUAAGCACUUUUGAUUUAAUCCGGAUUAUACUUCUGUUUAACCCGGUUUAUUCCUUUGAACCGUUUAAGCUCAAACUGAGCUGUUUUUUGUUACUUAUCACACUGAAGUCAAGUGUUUGCCCUGUUCUUUGUUUCCUACGGGCGUUUUUAGUUCUGUAACCUCAAUAAACUGAGUUUUGUUUUACUCGCUGGCGUUCUGUCUGUGACAGAUUGCCCAACGCCCAUAAAAUUUCAGUGAG
rnacentral:lncRNA from 1 species